UACGUAGGUGGCAAGCGUUAGGCGGAAUCACUGGGCUUAAAGCGCGUGUAGGUGGGUCGUUAAGUGUCCGCGUGAAAUCCCACGGCUCAACCGUGGAACUGCCGGGCAUACUGGCGAUCUUGAGGCAUUCAGGGGCGAGCGGAACAAGUGGUGGAGCGGUGAAAUGCGUAGAUAUCACUUGGAACGCCAAUGGUGAAAACAGCUCGCUGGGAAUGAUCUGACACUGAGACGCGAAAGCCAGGGGAGCGAACGGG
rnacentral:rRNA from 1 species